rnacentral:tRNA from 1 species
GGGGCCGUGGGGUAGCCUGGUAUCCUGCCAGCUUCGGGAGUUGGCGACCUGAGUUCGAAUCUCAGCGGCCCCA